rnacentral:rRNA from 1 species
AUUGAACGCUGGCGGCAGGCCUAACACAUGCAAGUCGAGCGAGCGGCGGACGGGUGAGUAAUGUCUGGGGAACUGCCCGAUGGAGGGGGAUAACUACUGGAAACGGUAGCUAAUACCGCAUACCAUCGGAUGUGCCCAUAUGGGAUUAGCUAGUAGGUGGGGUAACGGCUCACCUAGGCGACGAUCCCUAGCUGGUCUGAGAGGAUGAUCAGCCACACUGGAACUGAGACACGGUCCAGACUCCUACGGGAGGCAGCAGUGGGGAAUAUUGCACAAUGGGCGCAAGCCUGAUGCAGCCAUGCCGCGUGUAUGAAGAAGGCCUUAGGGUUGUAAAGCACUUUCAGCGGGGAGGCGUUACCCGCAGAAGAAGCACCGGCUAACUCCGUGCCAGCAGCCGCGGUAAUUC